UCUCCGCUAUUGUAAACGAUUUCGCAGAACAGGGAUUGAUCACCCUACCUGGUGAUUACAGGAACACAACAUAUGUUGAGACAAGGAACUGUAAAGAGAAGGUUCUCAGAAACAUGGAAGUAAGUUUAGACCUGACAACAAGAGUAGGAGCUCCAAAGACCUUCUUACGACUAUCUUACUCUGAGCCAGAAGAUAAUCCCCACGGACUAGUUGCAAAGAUGAAUGAAGCAUUUUGGGGAGACCUCGUCGAAUGGUGCAUAUCCACUACCACUAUUGGUUUAACAAUAGUCUUCCAUUUACAAGAUGGACCUGGUCGGUAUGCUGAGCUUGUUUUAAAAUAUGCAACAUUCGGACAUACACAGGAGGAGGCGCUGGUUGAAACAUUGUUCAUACCAGAGGAGCAACGCUGGGAAGCAACCUCUCAGAUCAGUGUCGGAUCGCGUGGAUGGUUUGUAUUGUGCACCAGGCCGAAGGAAACACAGAGAGAAGUACCAGUUGAUGGGUGCAGGCUUGUGUACGCACUAGAUAAAAGGGUGAAAAUAAACAUCCCGAAGAACUCAUUCGAAUGUCCAGGAAGCAUGUGCCUUAAGGUAACCUACUAGGUCCAAUCCAGGUGUAAUAAUAUGGUACCA